GUAAAUGGUAUUCUACGAAGAAUGAUGAUAUUCUAUUUUACAUAUAGAAUUGACCAAUCCUGUGAACGAGUUAAGUUUUUAUAAAAAAAAAAAAAAAGAGGCAUAUGCUCUCUGACGACGACAAAGAUAUUACAAACAAUUCAAUUAAUUUUUCAUAUUUCAUUAAAAAAUUAGAACGUUAGUCUGUAUGAAAAGAGUUAUAUAUGCGUUAGGUAUUUAUAAAUAUAUACAGAAUUUGAUAAAAAUACUCAUCGAAUGAAUUUAUUAAAUCGCUCAGUCGGCAAGCGUGACUAACGAGAGACACCAGCGAAGUCUAGCGACACUGAAGCCGUACUAAGGAAACUUAUUCUUCUACAAGAGUUUGAAUCUUGGUAGAAUCGCAUACAAAGAUACGAAAGAAGUAAUUGCUCUGUCGUGAGAGAUAGAGUUAGGGGCUGAGUUGUUCGAAAGAAACUUGACGUGUCGCUCUCAUUGGAGCUAAUUGAUCGGCUAAUUAAGAGCUGGUAGAAAAGAAAAACGGCCGACUAUGCGGCCAUUGUAAAUUUUUCAAUGCUCUAAUCUUUUGAGAGAAGAUUACAGUAAUGUCAAAGAAAAGCAGUAGCAAAAUGUUAGUUCAUCAAUUAUCUACCGUUCUGCCAGAUGAUAGACCCAUCACUGCCAUUAGUAUUAUUGAGGAUAUAGAGAAAUGUCCACCAAAUUUUACAGUCGUAUCUAGAACAUAUGAUCAGGAUACCGAUGCCGAUUUAUGGAGAGAAACUGGAUUAUUCAUAAAAAAGAAAGGUAGAUACAUAUGCUUUUCGAAGACCGAAGGUUUACCUCAUUGCAUUGUGGAAGAUAUCACCAUUAUCAAUGAACGAGAAAUGCCUCCAGAAGGAUAUAGCAUUAUCUCGCAUACCGUAGAUUCGAUGCAGAAGGCAUGGAGGAAAAAACAAUUGUGUUAUAAAAUUAAAAACAAGGAUUUGUGUUCUAAAGCUGUAACAGAUAUAAUCAUAUGUAGUAGAAUUGUACAUAAGGCAUCGAAGAUGGCACCAAAUGGUUUCGCUGCAGCUGGUAUAAUAAAUGGAGUAUGCGUUUGUUAUAAAACCGUGGAUAUAACAAACGGACAACCAAAUUCUCAAUCAUAUAUUAACAUAGAUAAAUUUUUAAUGCAAAAUGCUUCUCCAAAUCCUUCCAAUGGAACACCUCAUCGAGUACCACCCGAGAGGCCACCUAAACCGAAGUUUUCUCCCAAACCAAAUAAUGGUAUUUAUUCUCAAAUUGGAACAGCCGCCAUUGGAAAGGAUACAGACGAAUCUAAUGAUAGGGAUUACGAAGUGUUAAGUCCUAGCGCGAGGUUGAGGCCUACGAGACCUGCACCUCAACCUCCCACUACUUCGGUCAUUGGUUCCAUUCCAAUUUAUGGUACACUGCCAGGUUCUUCCGAUUUAGAUGGAGUCCCAUUCAUUCUCAAUCCUCGUCUUAAUAUUCAGUCUGAUUCUGCCAGUUACAAAUUUCCUACAAUCAAAAUUUGGACGCAAAAAGAUUUGGACAAAGAGUUUUGCUACGAUUUUCGUGCGGAAAGAGAAACUUGAAAAUACCAAUGUGCCAAAUUAUUUGUAUGAUAAAAUCAUACAUUUCAUUUGUUGUCUAUUCAUCCGUACUGACUAUAUAGUCGAGUGUAAUAGAGUGCCUGAAUGAGUGAUUUAUACUAAUUUCCAACCAAGGGAUAUCAGUUUAUGCAUUCUCUAUGACAAUUUAUAGUUACAACUUCCUAGUAAUAUGUCUAAAGGUAAAGGAAACUUCACUGAAUGACAGUACAUACAUUCUUUUAAUGCAAUUUAAGCAGAUAAAUGCAAAAGCAAAUUAAUAAUUAUAUAUUAUAUAAUGUUAUCAGAAACUCGUGGCGUAUAUCUAGGUGCUGAUCGAUGGAAUACAAGAUAAUAAUUAUGAUUAUUUUCAACUUAGUUCAUUGUUCAGGAACGUAUCAAGACAAAGUGGAAGAUGGUGAAUUUCAUCCUACAGAUAACAGUUUUCAUUAAUGUCAAUACUUAGAAACACUUAUACAUAUUG